UGAGCAUUAUGUUUACAACGUAGUUAUUAUAGCACGAAAUAUGAGUCUAAAAUGCCAAAUACUUGCAACUAUUAUGUUAAUCACUGAAAUCUUAGUGUACUAAUUGCUCGCUAUAAGCUAGGUUAUUGCGCCCCUAAACCAACGUACUGACAACGCUACCUCCCCGGAACUCAAACUUUAACCGGGCAUGACUUGGUACAUCCAGUGACCCAGCAAAAAGUAGCCUCGGUACAGCCAGAAGUAGCAACAACUCGCAAAAGGGGAUCCUUGUCUGACUGCAAAGAAAUGCAUAGCGAAUAAGCCCCCUAGGUUUUCUUCUUUAGGUUGUGAGGAGAAUAUUUCAAAUCCUUUGAGCAGCAGUGUCUAACCUACAACGCGGUCAAUGAUUUCCACUGUGCUCAUGUUUGUUUUGUGUAUCAUAACUGAAUAUGGAAGGAUGAGGAAAUUUUUGUUAUCAAAACCCAUUUACUUCUUAUUUCAAGUGUUUUUGUUCUCACUGUUUCAGACACUUGUUGGAAAAGGAAGGACCAAAGGUGCCAUCGUCGAUGGCCCAGAUAGAUGAAGAGAUUGAAGCCUGGGCUGCACAC